UUUCUAUCUAAUAAAAGCAAUACUGAGGAGUUGUUCACGGCAUCAGUUUUUUCUACUGUUGUCCCCUGCUCCCUUUCUCUUGCAGCUGACUUGUUUGUGCCUCAUUCUUCUCCUGUUUGCUAACAGGAAGCAGCAAGGAGAGCCUGAACGGGGACCAGAAACAUAACAGAAGAAGAAGCGCCAAGGGCCGGCAGUCUGUGAAGACCACAGAUACUGUCUGUUUACAAGAGUAACCUGGUCUCCCAGUGGAAGAUGUAGGACUCUCUGGCCAACAGAAGGUAUGUGUCACUCCUCUGCUGUCUCUCUCCUAGCUGCCUCACUUAGUGGGAGAUAUAGAUGCUGGAUGGGAUGCACAUGAGGUACAGUUAAUAUGCAGUCAAAU
rnacentral:lncRNA from 1 species